rnacentral:rRNA from 1 species
CCUACGGGAGGCAGCAGUGAGGAAUAUUGGUCAAUGGACGAGAGUCUGAACCAGCCAAGUAGCGUGAAGGAUGACUGCCCUAUGGGUUGUAAACUUCUUUUAUAAAGGAAUAAAACGAGGCACGUGUGCCUUUUUGCAUGUACUUUAUGAAUAAGGAUCGGCUAACUCCGUGCCAGCAGCCGCGGUAAUACGGAGGAUCCGAGCGUUAUCCGGAUUUAUUGGGUUUAAAGGGAGCGUAGAGGGGUUGUUAAGGCCGUUGGGAAAGUUUGCGGGUCAACCGUAAAAUUGCAAUUGAUACUGGCAGUCUUGAGUACAGUUGAGGUAGGCGGAAUGCGUGGUGUAGCGGUGAAAUGCUUAGAUAUCACGAAGAACCCCGAUUGUGAAGGCAGCUUACUAAACUGUGACUGACAUUGAUGCUCGAAAGUGUGGGUAUCAAACAGGAUUAGAUACCCCUGUAGUC